rnacentral:rRNA from 1 species
UACGUAGGGUCCGAGCGUUUGUCCGGAAUUACUGGGCGUAAAGAGCUCGUAGGUGGUUUGUCGCGUUGUUCGUGAAAACUCACAGCUUAACUGUGGGCGUGCGGGCGAUACGGGCAGACUGGAGUACUGCAGGGGAGACUGGAAUUCCUGGUGUAGCGGUGGAAUGCGCAGAUAUCAGGAGGAACACCGGUGGCGAAGGCGGGUCUCUGGGCAGUAACUGACGCUGAGGAGCGAAAGCGUGGGGAGCGAACAGG